rnacentral:rRNA from 1 species
GACGAACGCUGGCGGCGUGCUUAACACAUGCAAGUCGAACGGAAAGGCCCUGCUUGCUGGGUGCUCUAGUGGCGAACGGGUGAGUAACACGUGGGGGAUCUGCCCUGCACUUCGGGAUAAGCCUGGGAAACUGGGUCUAAUACCGGGUAGGUGCCAUUUUUAGUGUGAUGGUUGGAAAGUUUUUUCGGUGUAGGAUGAGCUCGCGGCCUAUCAGCUUGUUGGUGGGGUAAUGGCCUACCAAGGCGGCGACGGGUAGCCGGCCUGAGAGGGUGGACGGCCACAUUGGGACUGAGAGACGGCCCAGACUCCUACGGGAGGCAGAAGUGGGGAAUAUUGCACAAUGAGCGCAAGCCUGAUGCAGCGACGCCGCGUGGGGGAUGACGGCCUUCGGGUUGUAAACUCCUUUCGCUAGGGACGAAGCUUUUUGUGACGGUACCUAGAUAAGAAGCACCGGCUAACUACGUG